UACAGGGGAUGCAAGCGUUAUCCGGAAUUAUUGGGCGUAAAGGGUCCUGAGGUGGCUAUCCAAGUCUAUUGUGAAAUAUCAGGGCUUAACCCUGAACAUGCGGUGGAAACUAGAAAGCUUGAGUACAGUAGGGGCGGAGGGAAUUUCCGGUGGAGCGGUGAAAUGCAUAGAUAUCGGGAAGAAUACCAACGGCGAAAGCACUCCGCUGGGCUGAUACUGACACUGACAGACGAAAGCUAGGGUAGCGAAUGGG
rnacentral:rRNA from 1 species